GCAUUGGUGAUUCAGUGGUAGAAUUCUCACCUUCCAUUUUGGAGAUGCAGGUUUGAUUCCUGGCCAGUGCA
rnacentral:tRNA from 1 species